AGGAGGAGAAGGGGACGACAGAGGGUGAGAUGGCUGGAUGGUAUCACUGACUCGAUGGACAUGAGUCUGAGUGAACUCCGGGAGUUGGUGAUGGACAGGGAGGCCUGGCGUGCUGCGAUUCAUGGGGUCGCAAAGAGUCGGACACAACUGAGCGACUAAACUGAACUGCUUACAUUUGAAACUUAAAUUUUUGAAAGACAAACCCUAUACAGUCAUAUAUUACUCCUGUCCAUAGAAUGGCAAUAAAUCUUUAUAGAGUGAUAGAUGAAGAACCUUCCUUUAAAAAGACUAUUUCAAACUAAUCUCCCCCUAAUUAUAUUGGAAGGCUUUUCAUGAUAAAAUUCCUGGAAGGGUCACUGAAGUGCAGUGAAAGUCGCUCGGUCAUGUCCGACUCUUCAACCCCGUGGCCUGCAGCCCGCCAGGCUCCUCUGUGCAUGCACUCCUAGAGGCAAGAGUACUGCAGUGGGUCACUGGAGUUCAGAAAUUCUCCUCACUCCGUAGGUAUGAUUUAAAUGUUUAAAUUAAGAGUUAGUCGCUCAGUCAUGUCUGACUCUUUGCAACCCCAUGGACUGUAGCCCACCAGGCUCCUCCAUCCAUGGGAUUUUCCAGGCAGGAAUACUGCAGUGGGUAGCCCUUUCCUUCUCCAGAGGAUCUUCCAAGCCCAGGGAUCAGACCUGUGUCACCUGCAUUAUAGGUGGAUUCUUUACCAUCUGAGCCACUAGCGAAGCCCUUCAACUAAGAGGGUCCCUGGAUUUAUGAGCUUCUGCCUACGUCUUGGAUUUAAGAGGAAAAAGGGUAGGAUUUAUUAAGCAAGCAGCCUGCAGCCCACCCUCGAGACAUGAGAGCAGAUGAAGCCCAGUAGGACUGGUCUCAUCUGUUUUUUGUUUUUUAAUAUAUAAUUUUAUUUAUUACUUUCUUUUACUUUUGGUUGUCCUGGGCCUUUGUUGCUGUGUGGGCUUUCUCUCCAGUUGCCGCGUGUGGGCUUCUCAAUUGUGGUGACUUCCCUUGUUAGGGAGCACGGGCUCCAGGGCACACAGGCUUCAGUGGGCUCAGUGGUUGCGGCUCACGGGCUCUAGAACACAG
ensembl:lncRNA